UUUUGUUGGUUAGCGGCGGACGGGUGAGUAACACGUGGGUAACCUGCCUGUAAGACCGGGAUAACUCCGGGAAACCGGUGCUAAUACCGGAUAGAUUAUCUUUCCGCCUGGAGAGAUAAGGAAAGAUGGCUUUUGCCAUCGCUUACAGAUGGGCCCGCGGCGCAUUAGCUAGUUGGUGAGGUAACGGCUCACCAAGGCGACGAUGCGUAGCCGACCUGAGAGGGUGAUCGGCCACACUGGGACUGAGACACGGCCCAGACUCCUACGGGAGGCAGCAGUAGGGAAUCUUCCGCAAUGGACGAAAGUCUGACGGAGCAACGCCGCGUGAGCGAAGAAGGUCUUCGGAUCGUAAAGCUCUGUUGUUAGGGAAGAACAAGUAUCGGAGGAAAUGCCGGUACCUUGACGGUACCUGACGAGAAAGCCACGGCUAACUACGUGCCAGCAGCCGCGGUAAUACGUAGGUGGCAAGCGUUGUCCGGAUUUAUUGGGCGUAAAGCGCGCGCAGGCGGGUCCUUUAAGUCUGAUGUGAAAUCUUGCGGCUCA
rnacentral:rRNA from 1 species